ACCUCCUCCUGCGUUAAUUGUCUAAAGCUUUUCGGUUCCCAUUGUACGUCUCUUCCUUCUUCGACUAUUCCUCACAGGUAUUACAACUUAGAGAGACCGAUGGUUUCUCUUCGAAGGAAACAUUUUGUCACUCCUUCUCUUCCAAACCUCCUGAAGAAUGAAACCAUCUGAGUGUAAUCGAAACCAUGGCAGUGUGUUCAACCAUCUAUAGAACAAAUCCUACACGUCAUCCUCCAACAACGGUGGCUUUAGGGUUCUGUCGCCAGUCAGGGUUAUUAGGAUUCGGGCAGAUGAAUCUUGUGGUUCACAUGUUUCACAUGUUUGAUUCAGGUCGAGUUGGAGUGACUUUACGGCGACAGAAACUAACAUGGCGUUGUGAAGAUUUCUGGCGAGACGAUUAGGGUUCCGACGAGCCCUUUCAGUGCAAGACUGCCAUCUCUGUCAAAAAGUUUUAUUGGUUACAAUGGCGUCAAAUUCAUUCUUUGUGUUUAAUCAGAGACAAGCAGAGAUAGAUGUUAGAAGGAUUGAUGUUGGUGUUACUGACCGGAGUCAAUUUGGGUCCAUAGAAGCUUGCGGAAGCAUAUACAGAACGUGCAUGUAUCAACCGUUGGCGUCGGUGUAAUGGGCUACAUAGGUAACAAGGGGUCCAUAUCAGUGAGUAUGUCUAUAUAUCAGACGAAUUUUUGUUUCAUAUGCACUCAUUUAACGUCUGGUGAGAGGGACAUUGAUAUUGUUAAAAGGAAUGCCGAUGUGGAUGAAAUAUAUAAAAGAACGCGUUUUAAUUCACUGUCAAAUGCUGCAGUUCCAAGGAGCAUUAAGGAUCACAAGAAAGCUAAUUAUAUGGCUGGGUGAUCUUAAUUACCGCUUUAAUUUGAUCAACUAAGACCAGGAGUUGCGUUUGACGGGUCGACAGAAGGCGCAUUAAAUUUUCCACCGACUUACAAAUACGAGCCGAAUUCAGAUAAAUAUUAUGGCGAGGAUCCUAGAGUUGAAAGGCGUACGCCCGCAUGGUGUGACCUAUACUUUCAUAUGGGAAGGGGAUGCGGCAACUGAGCUACAAACGGGCUGAGAUUAAACAGGCUUCUGGUGGGUGUGAUAACAAGUAUGGAAACUGUGUAACGGGAUUUGGAAAAUGGACUGUAUUCCUGCCUUACAAAUGCACACUGAUUGGGUCUGUGUUGUUGCAUCGGCCCUGAACCUUGGAAGCGCUUCUGUGGAUGAUAUUGUUCUGAUAUGGACUAUUAGAAAAGAAGGUGACAAUUGGAAUGGUAAGGUGUUGUAUGACUUCAAGGUUCCUGUUUGGAGGGUAUAUUGGUCUUUAACAGGAAACCUUUUGGCGGUUGCUGCUGGCGAUAAUAGUGUUACAUUUGCAUCCUAAGAUUAUAUAUCAUGCUGCGACGUUUCCCCAUAGACUCUAAAGGGAGAAGGAGUAAACUUCAUGAGUAUUUCACCCGUUCCUAUUCCGACCGAAACAUUUCUACCCAAUCUCGGCUCCGCCGCAACGCGCGGGUUUCCUACUAUACAUUUCUACCCAAUCUUCGGAUGACUAUCAGUGAAUGUGGUGAACAACGGUUCCCUACUAUACAUUUCUACUUUACUAUACUCAUUUUUAGUGUUGUAUGCUUUUGCAUGUGUCGCUUUUAUGUUUGAAGCCUGGCAAUUACUCUGUGAAUUGUGCGAUUUCAGUGACGGAACGUUUCUUUGAGGGCGUUAUCAAAACAGAGUGGAAUUAGGGGAAAAUAGCCGCAAAGGCGUCUUCUCAGCAACCAUGGUUCAUGACUAAUACGCCGUUAAUUGAGACUUCUGAUACUAAUCAGAUUGUUGUGCCUGAACGCCAACGAGGUUAUGUCGGAUUUACGUCGGGACGAUGCACCAAUGCGCACAUUAGGUGGAUCAGGUGACUUGUAUUCCUUCAGAGGGCUGGCAAGUAGAACAUGGUGUCGGAGACUCACAACCAAGUUGUAUGAUGGACUUUCCUUAUCACUAGGCCUGGCCAUCAUUUUCAGUUGUCACUAUUGAGCAGAGUCCGAGGAGCUUAACAUCUUGGUGCAGUCAGGCUCUAUGUGUUUGGAAAUUCAAUAAUUAAGAUGAUGUUAGCUAAGCACCCCCACCAGUCGAUCUUACAGCUAACAUGAGGGAGGUAAAUCACUGUGUCACAGGCAUGUGGGUGGUGCUUAGUUUUGAUCUUGGAAUUCAAUAAGAUUGACUCGCUAUGUAUGGUUAAUUAUGAUCAAACCUUAACAAAUAAUAGUUAGAUCAAAGGUUGUCAUUUUUAUUAUCUUUAUGCUAAAGAAAGUAUGAUAAGAAUGGAGUUUAAUUAUUAAAAAAAGUUAAUUUGAAAGAAAAGAGUGAUAUUUUCUUUA